rnacentral:tRNA from 1 species
AGUUAAUAAGCUUAAAGCAUUUGUUUUGAAAACAAAAGAUAGAAUUUGCUAUUCUAUUAACUU